UGCCUGCCUGAAGGCGCCACCGGCACACUGCCACUGACACAGUCAAAAUCUAUAAACGGGAGGCAGCAGUGGGGGAAUAUUGCACAAUGGGCGAAAGCCUGAUGCAGCGACGCCGCGUGAGGAAUGACGGCCUUCGGGUUGUAAACCUCUUUCAGCAGGGAAGAAGCGAGAGUGACGGUACCUGCAGAAGAAGCGCCGGCUAACUACGUGCCAGCAGCCGCGGUAAUACGUAGGGCGCAAGCGUUGUCCGGAAUUAUUGGGCGUAAAGAGCUUGUAGGUGGCUUGUCGCGUCUGCCGUGAAACCCGAGCUCAACCUCGGCGUGCGGUGGGUACGGGCAGGCUAGAGUGUGGUAGGGGAGACUGGAACUCCUGGUGUAGCGGUGAAAUGCGCAGAUAUCAGGAGAACACCGAUGGCGAAGCAGGUCUCUGGCCAUUACUGACACUGAGAAGCGAAACAUGGGGAGCGACAGGAUUAGAUACCCUGGUAGUCCAUGCCGUAAACGUUGGGCACUAGGUGUGGGGACAUUCCACGUUUUCCGCGCGUAGCUAACGCAUUAAGUGCCCGCCUGGGAGUACGGCCGCAAGCUAAAACUCAAAGGAUUGACGGGGCCCGACAAGCGGCGGAGAUGCGGAUUAAUUCGAUGCACCGGAAGAACUUACCAAGGCUUGACAUGCACUGGACAGCUGCAGAGAUGUGGCCUUCUUUGGACUGGUGCACAGUGGGGCAUGGUUGUCGUCAGCUCGGUCGUG
rnacentral:rRNA from 1 species